UGUAGUGUGGUGUAGUGGUAAAAGGCAGGGCUCAUAACCCAAAGGUUGCUAGUUCAAUUCCAAAGUGUGCCACUACCG